GACGAAGGUGGCGAGCGUUGUUCGGAAUCACUGGGCAUAAAGCGCACGUAGGCGGUGCCGCAAGUCGGAUGUGAAAUCCCUCGGCCUAACCGAGGAACUGCGUCCGAUACUGCGGUGCUUGAGGAUCAGAGGGGUGCAUGGAAUUUCCGGUGGAGCGGUGAAAUGCGUUGAUAUCGGAAGGAACACCGGCGGCGAAAGCGAUGCACUGGCUGAUUUCUGACGCUGAGGUGCGAAAGCCAGGGGAGCAAACGGG
rnacentral:rRNA from 1 species